CGCUGGUACCCAAUACCCCUACCGCCGCGGGGCGCCCUGGGAUAGCCGCGGGGUCGCGGGGUGAGCGCGAGCGUGGCCGACUCCGGGAGCUGGGGGGCGCGGGGAGUCGCUGAGGGCCAGGCCCACGUGGUGGCGCCGCGGGGAGGCCGUGCCGGCCGGCCAGACGCGCAGCAAGCGGCACCCGGCCUGCUCGUAGGGGCCCUUGAAUGUUCGUCAUCCCGUCCCUGAGCUGCGGUCUCCAGGGUGCUGCCCGCACGGUACCCCAGCCCUCGCGGAGCAGGGGGUGCAUGCUAGUGUAGAAGGCGGGAAAUAAAGGGGGUGUGACUCCCUGCGCCCGCUUGUCCUCCUGGUGUGCUCUGGAACUGAUCCUGGCCGCUUCCGCGAACACUCCCGAUGCCUCAUUUGCCCCUGGCCUCGUUUCGGCCACCAUUCUGGGGGCUGAGGCCCUCACGGGGCCUCCCCAAGCCCCGUCCCCUUUCCACACAAUCCGAGCCCCAUAGCUCCUCUGUCUCUCGGAGGAACCGUGAAGCCAAGCAGAAGCGCCUGCGCGAGAAGCAGGAGGCGCUGGAAGCUGCCAUAACCCGGAAAAGCAAGUCACCUGCAGAGACCAGUAAGGCAUGGAGUCCUAAGGAGAUAGUAUUGUAUGAAAUCCCAACAGAACCCGGUGAAAAGAAAGAUGUGUCAGUACCCUUGCCUCCUGCUUACAGCCCCCGAUAUGUUGAGGCUUCUUGGUACCCAUGGUGGGUUCGAGAGGGCUUCUUCAAACCAGAAUAUCAGACGAGGCUGCCCCAGGCUACAGGAGAGACCUUCUCCAUGUGUAUCCCACCUCCGAAUGUCACUGGCUCUCUACACAUUGGCCAUGCACUGACAGUGGCUAUCCAGGAUGCCCUUGUGCGCUGGCAUCGGAUGCGUGGGGAUCGGGUACUGUGGGUCCCUGGCUCAGAUCAUGCAGGAAUUGCUACACAAGCUGUGGUGGAGAAACAACUGUGGAAGGAGCAGGGAGUGAGGAGGCAUGAACUGGGCCGGGAGGACUUCCUUAAGGAGGUGUGGCAGUGGAAGGAGGAGAAAGGAGGAGAGAUCUGUGAGCAGUUACGUGCUCUGGGGGCCUCCCUGGACUGGGAUCGGGAGUGUUUUACCAUGGAUGCUGGUUCUUCAGUGGCUGUGACUGAAGCUUUCGUGCGACUCUACAAUGCAGGGUUGUUGUACAGGAACUGUCAGCUUGUCAACUGGUCAUGUGCUUUAAGAUCAGCCAUCUCAGAUAUUGAGGUGGAGAACCGGCCUCUGCCUGGACGCACAGAACUCCGGCUGCCUGGCUGUCCCACCCCUGUGUCUUUUGGCUUCCUUGUUUCUGUUGCCUUCCCUGUGGAUGGAGAGCCUGAUGCAGAGGUAGUGGUGGGAACCACAAGGCCAGAAACAUUGCCUGGAGAUGUGGCUGUAGCUGUUCACCCUGAUGACUCCCGUUACACACAUCUACAUGGGCGACAGCUCCGUCACCCUCUGACAGGGCAGCUUCUCCCCCUCAUCACAGACCCUGCUGUUCAGCCGCAGGUGGGCACAGGAGCAGUGAAAAUCACUCCAGCUCACAGUCCUGCUGACGCUGAGAUGGGGGCCCGGCAUGGCUUGAGCCCCCUGACUGUCAUUGCGGAGGAUGGGACCAUGACCUCACUCUGUGGGGACUGGCUGCAGGGUCUUCACCGAUUUGUGGCCCGGGAGAAGAUUAUGUGUGCACUGAGGGAGCGGGGCCAGUUCCGGGGCCUCCAGGACCACCCCAUGGUACUGCCCAUAUGCAGCCGUUCUGGGGAUGUGGUGGAAUACCUACUGAAGAGCCAGUGGUUUGUUCGCUGCCAGGAAAUGGGGGACCGAGCUGCCCAGGCUGUGGAGUCGGGGGCUUUGGAGCUCUGUCCAUCUUUCCACCAGAAGAGCUGGCAGCACUGGUUCGCUCACAUUGGGGACUGGUGUGUCUCCCGGCAGCUGUGGUGGGGCCAUCGGAUUCCAGCCUACCUUGUCACUGAGGGGCAUGAGAAGCAGGAUGACAAGGACUGCUGGGUGGUGGGGCGGUCUGAGGCAGAGGCCAGACAGGCAGCAGCAGAACUGACUGGGAGACCAGGAACAGAGCUGACCCUGGAGAGGGACCCCGAUGUCCUGGAUACUUGGUUCUCUUCUGCUCUCUUUCCCUUUUCUGCCCUGGGCUGGCCCCAAAAGACUCCAGACCUUGCGCAUUUCUACCCCCUGUCACUUUUGGAAACGGGCAGUGACCUUCUGCUGUUCUGGGUGGGCCGAAUGGUCAUGCUGGGGACCCAGCUCACGGGGCAGCUCCCCUUCAGCAAGGUGCUUCUUCAUUCCAUGGUUCGGGACAGGCAGGGCCGGAAGAUGAGCAAGUCUUUGGGGAAUGUGCUGGAUCCACGGGACAUCAUCAGUGGUGUGGAGCUGCAGGUGCUGCAGGCCAAGCUAAGAGAUGGGAACCUGGACCCCGCAGAGCUGGCCUUUGCAGCUGCAGCACAGAAAAAGGACUUUCCUCAUGGGAUACCUGAAUGUGGGACAGAUGCCCUGAGAUUCGCACUGUGCUCUCAUGGAGUCCUGGGGGGCGACCUGCACCUGUCUGUCUCUGAGGUCCUGAGCUGCCGCCAUUUCUGCAACAAGAUCUGGAAUGCCCUGCGUUUUAUUCUCAAUGCCCUAGGGGAGAAUUUUGUACCCCAACCUUCAGAGGAGCUGUCUCCCACCUCCCCCAUGGAUGCCUGGAUCCUGAGCCGCCUGGCCCUUGCUGCCCGUGAGUGUGAGCGUGGCUUCCUCACCCAGGAGCUCUCCCUGGUCACCCAUACCCUGCAUCACUUCUGGCUCCACAACCUCUGUGAUGUCUACCUGGAAGCUGUGAAGCCAGUGCUGUUGCGCAAGCCCCGCCCCCCUGAGCCACUUCAGGUCCUAUUCUCCUGCGCAGAUGUUGGUCUCCGCCUCCUGGCCCCACUGAUGCCCUUCCUGGCUGAAGAGCUCUGGCAGAGGCUGCCCCAAAGGCCAGGUGGCUUCUUGGCUCCCAGCAUCUGUGUUGCACCCUACCCUAGUGCCCACAGCUUGGAGCACUGGCGCCAUCCUGAGUUGGAGCAGCGCUUCUCCCAGGUCCAGGAAGCCGUGCAGAUGCUUCGAGCUCUUCGAGCCACCUACCAACUCACCAAAGCCCGGCCCCAAGUACUGCUGCAGACCUUGGAGCCAGGGGAGCAGGGCCUCUUCCAGGCCUUCCUGGAGCCCCUGGGCACCCUGAGCCACUGUGGAGCUGUGAGCUUCCUGCCCCCAGGUGCAGCAGCUCCCUCAGGCUGGGCGCAGGCCACCCUCAGUGACACUGUUGAGGUCUACAUGGAGUUGCAGGGCCUGGUAGACCCCCAGACUCAGCUGCCUCGGCUAGCCACCCGAAGACUCAAGUUGCAGAAGCAGCUUGAUGGCCUCAUGGCUUGGACCCCAUCCGAAGGGGAGGCAGAGACACAGAAGCAGCAAAGGCUUUCCGCUCUCCAGCUGGAAUUGUCAAAACUGGACCAGGCGGCCUCUCACCUCCAGCAGCUGAUGGAUGAGGCUCCCAGCCCCAGGGAGCUUUGAGCUCUAACUCAUAUCCCUGUUCAUUGGCCUCCCUUGCAGACCCAUCUGAGGCCUGGUCUGGGAAGAGAGGAAGACUUCCUCUUAGGUCCUGACCCUGGGCUACAUGGAAGUGUGGGUGCUGGGUAGAGGUGACCUCUCUGGAGGAGGAGGAACCUUCUAGUAUUAGGGUGAGGCAUGGACACGAUGACCUCAGUUCCAGUGCUCUGGCUGGUAUAGGGCCUUCAUGUUCCACUUCUCAGCAGAUGGAAGCUUCCUUGCACCUUACUUAUCCCCAGAGGUGCUGAGAAAAGCUGGCCUUCCUCCAGGCCUGAGGGGCUGCAGGGUGUGCUGGGGCCUGUGUGCCCCCUGUCCUCUGAGCACCACCAGAGACACACUUACAUGUGCACGGAUGCACCAGUAGCCACCCUGCCCACCUAAACACCUUGACUUGUCUCAGUAGAAUUCAGAGGCUUUGUCCUUCCAUGCCCACAUUGCAGUCUGUCCAGCACCUCUGAGUAGCUAUUUAUGGCAAGCCUGCCUUGGAUCCUUAGUCCUCUAUAGUACUGGAUAUCCAAUGUCAUUUAAUCGUGUGAAGAGCCUUCUAAGGUGAGAGGAAAUGUGCUCAGACUAGAAGUAACCUGUCCAAGGUAUCACAAGGAUUUAACCCAAUUCUUGAGCCUAAUAACUUAGUUGCAUGUCCUUUGUUCAAGUGUAAUGAUGACUGAAGAUGAAUGUUUUUCAUGCUGGGCAUAAGCAGUGCAGAGCUCUGCAAUGGUGGGGCCCCACACCACUUCUCACUGCUGAACCACUCUCCCUGGCCUGCCCCUGCUUCCACCCUGCCAGCCUGUGUGGCCUCUGGGCCUGGGGACCAUGUUCUAUGGGUAUUCGGUCCACAUCCCUGCCUUAGCUUAAGCUAAAGGGGCUGAAAUUAAAAUCUUGCUUAAACAUACACCUAGCUGGUGUCUAAUCUCUCCACUGCCAUUGAAAGUUGAGUGAGUCACAUUAAGUUUCAAUUUCCUUACUUGUAAAAUAAAGUAAUGAUACCUAA